UUCCCUGUGGCUCAGUUGGUAGAGCGUGGUGUUUGCAACGCCAGGGUUGUGGGUUCGAUUCCCACGGGGGACC
rfam:Salmo salar isolate Sally breed double haploid chromosome ssa26, whole genome shotgun sequence.